rnacentral:rRNA from 1 species
CUACGGGGGGCACCAGUGGGGAAUCUUAGACAAUGGGGGAAACCCUGAUCUAGCCAUGCCGCGUGAGCGACGACGGCCCUAGGGUUGUAAAGCUCUUUCAGCAGGGAAGAUAAUGACGGUACCUGCAGAAGAAGUCCCGGCUAACUCCGUGCCAGCAGCCGCGGUAAUACGGAGGGGACUAGCGUUGUUCGGAAUUACUGGGCGUAAAGCGCGCGUAGGCGGAUUGUUAAGUCGGGGGUGAAAUCCCGGGGCUCAACCCCGGAACUGCCCUCGAUACUGGCAGUCUUGAGUGCGAGAGAGGUGAGUGGAAUUCCGAGUGUAGAGGUGAAAUUCGUAGAUAUUCGGAGGAACACCAGUGGCGAAGGCGGCUCACUGGCUCGAUACUGACGCUGAGGUGCGAAAGCGUGGGGAGCAAACAGGAUUAGAUACCCGAGUAGUC